UACAUAGGGGGCAAGCGUUAUCCGGAAUUACUGGGUGUAAAGGGUGCGUAGGCGGCUAAGCAAGUCAGGUGUGAAAGCCCGAGGCUCAACUUCGGGACUGCACUUGAAACUGUUUGGCUAGAGUACAGGAGAGGUAAGCGGAAUUCCUAGUGUAGCGGUGAAAUGCGUAGAUAUUAGGAAGAACACCAGUGGCGAAGGCGGCUUACUGGACUGAAACUGACGCUGAGGCACGAAAGCGUGGGGAGCGAACAGG
rnacentral:rRNA from 1 species